AUUGAACGCUGGCGGCAGGCCUAACACAUGCAAGUCGAGCGGAGCGGCGGACGGGUGAGUAAUGCCUAGGAAUCUGCCUGGUAGUGGUGGAUAACGUCCGGAAACGGGCGCUAAUACCGCAUACUAUCAGAUGAGCCUAGGUCGGAUUAGCUAGUUGGUGGGGUAAAUGCCUACCAAGGCGACGAUCCGUAAAUGGUCUGAGAGGAUGAUCAGUCACACUGAAACUGGAACACGGACCAGACUCCUACGGGGGGCAGCAGUGGGGAAUAUUGGACAAUGGGCGAAAGCCUGAUCCAGCCAUGCCGCGUGUGUGAAGAAGGUUUUCGGAUUGUAAAGCACUUUAAGUUGGGAGGCGUUACCAACAGAUUAUGCACCGGCUACCUUCAUGCCAGAAGCCGCGGUAAUUC
rnacentral:rRNA from 1 species